rnacentral:lncRNA from 1 species
GCCUAAUAGUUAAAAUUCUGCACUUUCACAUCCACAGGGUGAGUCUGAUUACUGGUCAGGGAUCCAGCCCCUCUCGAUUUAAUAUUUGUGUGACUUUUUUGUUGGGUAUCAAUUUAUUAUUGAUCUUUAUUAUUGACCUUUCCCAUUUCCAUAGCUUUUUGUUUCCUGUCUUUUUUCAUCUGUUGGGGGCACAUGAGGCUUUGGGGCCUUUGUGUGCGUAUGGUCAGCUGAGAAGUAACAUCAUCAGGAAGACGGGUGCUUCACCAUGCUUCUGCCUGUACCAGUGUACAGAAUAUAAAGCCUUGGAGGAACUGCAGUUGAUGACAGCAUCUUCCCCUUCUCGGAGGAUCACGGCUUGAGGACUCUGCACUGGUUGUUGGCUUCUCACCCCUGAUCAGAAAGACAAUCGAAUGAGAUGCUCAAUCUCGUGAAGGGAAGGGUGAUUUUCUCCCUUCCUUCCUUAUUUAAAACAUUAAGCAUCACCACAUAAUUACGGUACAUUUUCCUCACUUCUUAGGUCUGGUUCUUAAAAGGGCCCUUCCCAAGACAGAAAGCUAUUGUCAUUAAGAUGCUGUCAUAUCACAACCUCUCCCAGACUGAAUCGUGUACUCACAGGCCAACUGCCACAACAAGGUGCCUGAAAGCACUUUCAGGAGAGUCUCCAUCCUUGGCCUGCCAGAAUAUCCAGUCAGCUUCUGAAUAGGCUUCCUUAACAGGAGUUGCUUUGAACUCAGAAUGAGGCCUGUUGCAAUUGCUUCCAGGAUAUUGCAACUUUGGGGGCAACCAAUCAGAGACACAUCACAACAGUUUAACUGCAGAGAACUAAAUGCAUCUACCUAGAAUACUUUUUAAACAGCUCUCCCCUGUGGCCAGACUGAGGAAUGUUGAUUAAACUGUGGAUUUUGGCUUUUCUUGAGUAAGUUUUCAUCCAGGAUAGGUUUUUUUCUUGCUAUAAGAAGGGCCUAUCAAUAUACUGUGUUACAGAAAGAAUUACUCCAGAAUUAAGAGAAAAAAGAAGCAUCAAGGGAAAAUGUAUUAUAUGUGUUUUACUACAUAUAUGUAUUUUAUAUACAUG